rnacentral:rRNA from 1 species
CCUACGGGAGGCAGCAGUGGGGAAUAUUGCACAAUGGGCGCAAGCCUGAUGCAGCAACGCCGCGUGAGGGACGACGGCCUUCGGGUUGUAAACCUCUUUUAGCAGGGAAGAAGCGAAAGUGACGGUACCUGCAGAAAAAGCACCGGCUAACUACGUGCCAGCAGCCGCGGUAAUAC